rnacentral:rRNA from 1 species
UACGUAGGUGGCGAGCGUUGUCCGGAAUUACUGGGUGUAAAGGGCGUGUAGGCGGGUCUGCAAGUCAGAUGUGAAAUUCCGGGGCUUAACCCCGGCGCUGCAUUUGAAACUGCGGAUCUUGAGUAUCGGAGAGGGAAGUGGAAUUCCUAGUGUAGCGGUGAAAUGCGUAGAUAUUAGGAGGAACACCAGUGGCGAAGGCGACUUUCUGGACGAUAACUGACGCUGAGGCGCGAAAGCGUGGGGAGCAAACAGG